CGGCGAGUGAAGCGGCAACAGCUCAAAUUUGAAAUCUGGCUCUCGGGCCCGAGUUGUAAUUUGUAGAGGAUACUUUUGAUGCGGUGCCUUCCGAGUUCCCUGGAACGGGACGCCAUAGAGGGUGAGAGCCCCGUCUGGUUGGAUGCCAAAUCUCUGUAAAGUUCCUUCAACGAGUCGAGUAGUUUGGGAAUGCUGCUCUAAAUGGGAGGUAUAUGUCUUCUAAAGCUAAAUACCGGCCAGAGACCGAUAGCGCACAAGUAGAGUGAUCGAAAGAUGAAAAGCACUUUGAAAAGAGAGUUAAAAAGUACGUGAAAUUGUUGAAAGGGAAGCGUUUAUGACCAGACUUGGGCUUGGUUAAUCAUCUGGGGUUCUCCCCAGUGCACUUUUCCAGUCCAGGCCAGCAUCAGUUUUCCCCGGGGGAUAAAGGCGGCGGGAAUGUGGCUCUCUUCGGGGAGUGUUAUAGCCCACCGUGUAAUACCCUGGGGGGGACUGAGGUUCGCGCAUCUGCAAGGGAUGCUGGCGUAAUGGUCAUCAACGACCCCGUCUUUGAAACACGGACCAAGGAGUCGUCUUCGUAUGCGAGUGUUCGGGUGUCAAACCCCUACGCGUAAUGAAAGUGAACGCAGGUGGAGAGCUUCGGCGCAUCAUCGACCGAUCCUGAUGUUCUCGGAUGGAUUUGAGUAAGAGCAUACGGGGGCCGGACCCG
rnacentral:rRNA from 1 species